GUCAGUGGCGGACGGGUGAGUAACGCGUGAGGAACCUGCCUAUCAGAGGGGGACAACAGUUGGAAACGACUGCUAAUACCGCAUAAAACGUCAUGAUGGCAUCAUCGAGACGUCAAAGGAGCAAUCCGCUGAUAGAUGGCCUCGCGUCUGAUUAGAUAGUUGGUGAGGUAACGGCUCACCAAGUCGACGAUCAGUAGCCGGACUGAGAGGUUGAACGGCCACAUUGGGACUGAGACACGGCCCAGACUCC
rnacentral:rRNA from 1 species